ACUCCUACGGGAGGCAGCAGUGGGGAAUAUUGGACAAUGGGCGCAAGCCUGAUCCAGCCAUGCCGCGUGUGUGAAGAAGGCUCUAGGGUUGUAAAGCACUUUCAGUGGGGAGGAUAAGUUAUCGGUUAAUACCUGGUAAUGCAGACGUUACCCACAGAAGAAGCACCGGCAAACUCCGUGCCAGCAGCCGCGGUAAUACGGAGGGUGCGAGCGUUAAUCGGAAUUACUGGGCGUAAAGCGCGCGUAGGCGGUUUGAUAAGCUGGAUGUGAAAUCCCCGGGCUCAACCUGGGAACUGCAUCCAGAACUGUCUGACUAGAGUACAGUAGAGGGUGGCGGAAUUUCCUGUGUAGCGUGAAAUGCGUAGAUAUAGGAAGGAACAUCAGUGGCGAAGGCGGCCACCUGGACUGAUACUGACGCUGAGGUGCGAAAGCGUGGGGGAGCAAACAGGAUUAGAUACCCUGGUAGGU
rnacentral:rRNA from 1 species